UACGGAGGGGGCUAGCGUUGUUCGGAAUUACUGGGCGUAAAGCGCGCGUAGGCGGACCUGCAAGUCGGGGGUUAAAGCCCGAGGCUCAACCUCGGAACUGCCUUCGAUACUGCGGGUCUCGAGUCCGGGAGAGGUGAGUGGAAUUCCUAGUGUAGAGGUGAAAUUCGUAGAUAUUAGGAAGAACACCAGUGGCGAAGGCGGCUCACUGGCCCGGUACUGACGCUGAGGCGCGAAAGCGUGGGGAGCAAACAGG
rnacentral:rRNA from 1 species